CCUACGGGGGGCAGCAGUCGAGAAUCAUUCACAAUGGGGGAAACCCUGAUGGUGCGACGCCGCGUGGGGGAAUGAAGGUCUUCGGAUUGUAAACCCCUGUCAUGUGGGAGCAAAUUAAAAAGAUAGUACCACAAGAGGAAGAGACGGCUAACGAUGUGCCAGCAGCCGCGGUAAUAAAGAGGUCUCAAGCGUUGUUCGGAAUCACUGGGCGUAAGGCGUGCGUAGGCUGUUUCGUAAGUCGUGUGUGAAAGGCGCGGGCUCAACCCGCGGACGGCACAUGAUACUGCGAGACUAGAGUAAUGGAGGGGGAACCGGAAUUCUCGGUGUAGCAGUGAAAUGCGUAGAUAUCGGGAGGAACACUCGUGGCGAAGGCGGGUUCCUGGACAUUAACUGACGCUGAGGCACGAAGGCCAGGGGAGCGAAAGGGAUUAGAUACCCCUGUAGUC
rnacentral:rRNA from 1 species